GACGAACGCUGGCGGCGUGCUUAACACAUGUAAGUCGAACGAAGAGCGACGGAAGCUUGCUUCUAUCAAUCUUAGUGGCGAACGGGUGAGUAACGCGUAAUCAACCUGCCCUUCAGAGGGGGACAACAGUUGGAAACGACUGCUAAUACCGCAUACGAUCUAAUCUCGGCAUCGAGGAUAGAUGAAAGGUGGCCUCUACAUGUAAGCUAUCACUGAAGGAGGGGAUUGCGUCUGAUUAGCUAGUUGGAGGGGUAACGGCCCACCAAGGCGAUGAUCAGUAGCCGGUCUGAGAGGAUGAACGGCCACAUUGGGACUGAGACACGGCCCAGACUCCUACGGGAGGCAGCAGUGGGGAAUCUUCCGCAAUGGACGAAAGUCUGACGGAGCAACGCCGCGUGAGUGAUGACGGCCUUCGGGUUGUAAAGCUCUGUUAAUCGGGACGAAAGGCCUUCUUGCG
rnacentral:rRNA from 1 species